rnacentral:snoRNA from 2 species
AAACCAUGAUGGGGCAAAGCCUAAGCAUUUCUUUGAAACGCUCUCACGCAUCGUAAAUAGAUUCACCAUCUUUUUGAGUGU